rnacentral:rRNA from 1 species
UACGAAGGGGGCUAGCGUUGCUCGGAAUUAUUGGGCGUAAAGCGCACGUAGGCGGCUUGUUAAGUCGGGGGUGAAAUCCUGGAGCUCAACUCCAGAACUGCCUUCGAUACUGGCGAUCUCGAGUUCGGGAGAGGUGAAUGGAACUGCGAGUGUAGAGGUGAAAUUCGUAGAUAUUCGCAAGAACACCAGUGGCGAAGGCGGCUCACUGGCCCGAUACUGACGCUGAGGUGCGAAAGCGUGGGGAGCAAACAGG